CUUGCAAAUUGCUUAUUUGUCAUAUCCACACUAUGUUUAAAUAAAAUAAAUUCGUUUCAUGCAUAACUCGAAGUUAUUGCACCGCAAAGCUAAUCGACAGCUCAGCAUGGCGGGGAAACAAGCGCCAAAAUUGACAUGAAGCUCCACAACUGGUAACCAAAGGCCCAUACAUAUGUACAUACAUACGUGUGUAUGUAUGUACAUAGUUUAUAUAGAAGCUAAGUGUGUUGAGGAAUAAAAAAAAGAAAUUAGCAUCGAAUUACCGGUAACUCAGUUUCUUUUCAAUGAAAAUUUCUCAACAACGACAAUAUAAUAUUGUAAUAGCCAUAAAGAAUUAAAAACACAUGUGCUCAAGCUCGAAAACAUGAAUUUUUCAAAAAGGCAUCUGUUUAUCACAGAUUUUUGAACGAUAUGAGAAUGUACUAUAUUUUAUAGAAAGUGAAACGCAGUUAAAGUAAAAUAUUAUUUCGACGAAAAUUACCAAAUCAAUAAAUAUAUUCAUAUAUGUAUGUACAUACAUAUGUAGGUAUAUACUUAUUUAGAACUCUUUGCAUGUAACUUUUGCUAGUGUAAUUUGUAGUUAUAGUGGAGAUUAGUCGAUCAAUCUCGCUAAGGCCAAUCUAAACAGGUGCAAAAAAAAAAAAAAUUAUAUACAAGCACAACCUUCUGGGUGUUACUAUUUAAUUUCAACGCUCAACACUAUGCAUUGCUGAAGCGAAUUAGACUGCCGGAAUUCAGUUGCCACCUUUUCAUUAAUCAGCCAUGCAAUAUUUUCCAUUUGCCAUUGCAGUUUAUUCUAAACUCUCAACUUCAUUACAUAUAUACUAGUCUAUACAUGUGAUGUGUAGGUAAAAAGUUUGGCGCGCACAUUGCACUAAAAGUCAAGCACCUCAAUAAGCCACCCAACCAAAAUCAUUUCCUUUGCUGCACCAAAAUGAAGCAAUCGGAAAUCAAAACAAAAUACGAUUAGAAGAAACAGAGAAUCUACUUUCUUCGACGCCGACGUCAACACACUUUACGUUAUUGUAGCCGACGACGACGCCGUUGUUGCCGCUUACAGCGCCGUAGUGAUUUCCGAUGUGUUGGAUUGUUUUGAUUUUGAAAAUGCGGACACAAUACCGCCAAUAGAGACAGUUAAUUAUAUUAUGCUUCCUGAUGCAAAAAAGAGUACAUUGGAGACCGUACAGCGGCGAAAAGAUACAUCAGCUGUACUACUCAUUAACUACAUUUUUUAUAAAAAUAAAAAUCAACAAACAGAGUGACAUAGCGCUAGCUUGCAAAGCUUUAUCAACAAAGGUGCGAAGGAAAUGACUAAUACCACCUGCGCAAUUAUAUGUAUGCUUUUCCGUUUCCUUUAUGUCAGUGAGAUUGCUGUCAAAACGUUUGCUUGCAGUAGAAAAAGGUAUAUAUAGUGAAAUUUGUAUGUCCACAAUUACUUUAUAAAUUCGCACAAUACAGGAUAGAAACUAUGAAAAUAUAAUAUACAUAGCUAAAGGCGCGCAAUCAGAAUUUAUUUACUCAAGACACGCAGAUCUGAAUGAAUGUAGAAAUGUACAUAUGUACGUUCACGUAAGUGCC